rnacentral:rRNA from 1 species
UACGAAGGGGGCUAGCGUUGUUCGGAAUUACUGGGCGUAAAGCGCACGUAGGCGGACAUUUAAGUCAGGGGUGAAAUCCCGGGGCUCAACCCCGGAACGGCCUUUGAUACUGGGUGUCUUGAGUUCGGAAGAAGUGAGUGGAAUUGCGAGUGUAGAGGUGAAAUUCGUAGAUAUUCGCAGGAACACCAGUGGCGAAGGCGGCUCACUGGUCCGAUACUGACGCUGAGGUGCGAAAGCGUGGGGAGCAAACAGG